rnacentral:lncRNA from 1 species
GCCAGGAGCUGAGCACCCUCCCUGUCCCACAACCCCAAUCCAAGUUGGGAACGGCAGGACUGGUCUUGCAGGGGUCACCACGAAGCCACCACCAGGGUCUCAUUAUGUCGUCUAGGCUGGCCUCAAACUCAUGGCGAGCCUCCUGCCUCAGCCUCCUGAGUGCUAGAAUAUAGACGUGCACCACCACCACGCCUGGCUUGGAAAAAACCUGCUUCCCGGUGCCUCAGAAUGUGCCUGUGUUGGAGUUAAAGAGAUUGUUCACCACCAUGGCAUUCCUUAACCACAAUGUACGAGGUCUUUUCCUGUUGCUAGUAACACAAUACCAGAAUAGGUAAGGAACAAGAAAAACAUGUUUAUUUUGGCUCACGGUUUGGAAGAGGGAGGUUGAGGGGCCCCAUCUGGUGCUGGGCUUCAUGCUGGGAGGAGAGUAGAGCCAAGCGAGCAUGUGUGCGUCCUGCCCGCCUCUCCUUCCCAGGGUCCCUGAGGUCCUACCCCUCCCGAGCUCACCCAACCUGCCCAUCUCCCUCUCCCAAGGGGGCCAAUUUUAACCUCACAGUGGGGACUCAAUUUCCAUGUGCAUUUCAGGGGAGCAAAGCAUAUUCAAACCAGGGCAAGUGUUUUGUUUCCGUCAAUGCAUUUUACAGCCAGAUGUCUGAGCUUUCAGGCUUUCACAUAAGGACAAGCGAGGAGCCCAACUGGAAGAAGACGGAAGACAGAAAGACUGCACAGGCAGCUCACCCUGGAGAGCUGGGCUCUCUCUUCCCCUACACUUCGCAUCAUAAAGUGAAAUAAAGGCUUAGUUGCCUGGCCUGGUAGGGCAGGCCUGUGCUCCCAGCAUUCCGCCUGAAGCAGGAGGAGCCUCCUUCCAGAGUGCUUGGAUCACAGGUGUGCACCACCACCCCUGGCCUCAGAGCUGUUCUGCAACCAGAGAGGGGCUCGUGACUCCG